GAGGAAAAUGGGCGUUUAUGGAAAGGAAGUGAAAAAUGGAGUUUUAGUGGGUUUUUGGUGGAGAAAUGGAUGAGUGAAGUUUGGAAACGGUAAUGGCUUGGAGUUAAUAUGAGGAAGUUGGGAUUUUUCGUGUACUUUGGUGGAGUUGGGAGGAGGAGAAAAUGGGUUUGGAGAGGUUGAAGAAGGUGAAAAUGGUGAAAUUAGGGAUUAUGUCCCGUUAAAGGUUCAGACAUCAUGGCGCCCGCCAUGAG
rnacentral:lncRNA from 1 species